UCAAGAGUCCUACACAGCCAAGGACCUGCGCACACUGCUGCUGCAAGACACUGUGGAUAGCCCAACACGGACAACUUUCCGCCUUGUGAUUACCUCAGAGGAUCUGCUGGUGUGGAAUAUAACCUUUAAGGACUAUUUUUCCACAGAUAUAAAGUCUUAAUUGCGCGUAAUUCUAGCAGCUGUGGGGAGAUUUUCUUUAAGAUUUGGGCAGAAGUUUGAAGCCAUUCGUAACAGGGUGAAGGACAAGUGCAAUGCGCGUCAGCCUCGUCUCUGGGGAUUGUCCCACUUGCGCCUGAGGAGCUACAUGUCAUGCUGCAGAGUCCAAUGUGAAUAACGAGAGACAACUUUCCAGAGCUUCUCCAUAUUUUCACUUAUACAAGAAUAGUGUCACCAGGAGACCCACCGAGCCCGCGGAGCUGCUCUGACACCUCGGAUUCUCUCCCCGAGCUGGGGAUGGUUGUGGAUCCUGUGGGGCCAGGAGCGAUUGUGCGGCUCCUACAGAACACCACCUUUUUCUUAUUCGGGGUUAAAUCGAAUUUAAAGGGAGAUGAGAGCUGCACUUUGUCACUUCCUGCUGUGGACGUCGUACCUGCUGCUGGCCACCUCUGAGGAAGUGGAGUUUCCCCAGGAGCUGAUAGACAGAUUGUCGCACAGUGAAAUCCACAGCAUCAGCGACCUCCAGCGGCUAUUGGACAUUGACUCCGUAGGUACGGGAAAUGAUGUCAUCGAAGAGCCCAAACAUCACAAGUACCACAACCACCAUAAGAACUACUCCCGUCAUCACGGUUACUACAACGACCUGAAGAGCUCCCAGCUCCACAGCCGCCGCAAGAGAAGCCUGGUGGAGGAGGCGGUCCCGGCGGUGUGUAAGACGCGGACGGUGAUCUACGAGAUCCCCAGGAGCCAGGUGGAUCCGACGUCUGCCAACUUCCUGAUAUGGCCGCCCUGCGUGGAGGUGAAGCGCUGCACAGGCUGUUGCAACACAAGCAACAUGCGCUGUCACCCUUCCCGCAAGCACCACCGCACCGUUAAGGUAGCAAAGGUGGAGUACGUGAGGAGAAGACCCAAGCUGAAAGAGGUCUUUGUGCGGUUAGAAGACCACCUGGAGUGCGUGUGCACGUCACAACAUCAUGUGGUGGAGCACUCAGAUGCAGAACCAGGCCACCGUAGGGCUAAAGGUAAAAAAAGGAAACCUAAAAAGCUAAGACCCAGCAAGGAUUUAUUGGCAACAUAAUAAAGUUGCAAUCAUUACCCAAAGUCCACUGGAGAGCUGUGAAGGGAACAGUGGACGUGAGGUGAGACCAACCAGAACAAGGGGACUUCAGCGUGGGAGGGACCUAAACAGCAGACGCCACCAACAGGAGACCUGCUCUGUCCUCCUCCUCACUGCCAUGCAACCUUCGUUUGAACUUUUCUGUAAAGAUGACGGACUGAAUAUAGACAAAAAAACUUAAACAAGAUGCCAAAGGUGCUUUUUCUUAAAACCAGUGAUGAUGACUUCCUCUGUGGUACGCCACCUCUGCGGACUGCUGCUUGUGAUGGCGGCAUAGAGCUGCGCGGGGCAGAAAGAGGCCGAGAGGAGAUCAUGAAAAGGAUAUGAUGGACUUUGUUGAAAGAUGGAUCGAUUCUGAAACAGGUGGAAGAAGAUUUUCGUGGGCAUCUGGUGCUCUUGACUUCUCGAUAGUGCUGGCUGUGGAUGGCCUCCAGCUUGGCGACGUAAAGAUGCCCCGCCCUGCUUCGAUGACUCUGGCAUACACUGUAAAAACCCAGAUGGAAGACUUUUAAAGAGCGAAGAACAUGUGACUGUUUCUGUUGUUUUCUAUCAAAGACUCCAAGGAGUAUCAGACAUUUUGGAUCCAUGCUCUGACAUCCGAUCCUCCAUGCUUUUGUGACUUUAUCCACUUGUUAUGUACAGUUCAAUCUGAGAAGGAAGAUGCGCCGCUACUUACAAACUAUUUAUCUGUGUGGACAUUUGCUUUCUGUCUCUUCCAGUUAAAAAGAAAGAAAGAACAAAAAAAAAAGAAAGGUUUUAAUGAAUUUGGAGACAUACAAGAGUUCUGUGUGGCCCGGUUCGGUUCUUUGUAACCAUCACAAUACCAUUGUCAUCUUUUUAAGUCGAUGUUAUCCUCGUCAUCCAUGUUUCUUAUUAUAUUACAGUAUAUUUGAAUGAUGUCAAGUCUUGUAUAUGGUUUGGAUACAUGUGUGCAAGGAGGAGAUGUGAGAGUCAGUACAGGAAGAUGCUUUAUUUUUGUUAUGAAAUAUAUCAAGCUUACUUAUAUCCAA